rnacentral:rRNA from 1 species
UGGCUAACUCCUACGGGAGGCAGCAGUGGGGAAUCUUGCACAAUGGGGGGAACCCUGAUGCAGCGACGCCGCGUGAGCGAUGAAGGUUUUCGAAUCGUAAAGCUCUGUCCUAUGGGAAGAUAAUGACGGUACCAUAGGAGGAAGCCCCGGCUAACUACGUGCCAGCAGCCGCGGUAAUACGUAGGGGGCGAGCGUUGUCCGGAAUUACUGGGCGUAAAGGGUUCGCAGGCGGCAUGACAAGUCCGAUGUAAAAGGCGAAAGCUCAACUUUCGUAAGCAUCGGAAACUGUCAAGCUUGAGUGAAGGAGAGGCAAGUGGAAUUCCUAGUGUAGCGGUGGAAUGCGUAGAUAUUAGGAGGAAUACCGGUGGCGAAGGCGACUUGCUGGACUUCAACUGACGCUGAGGAACGAAAGCGUGGGUAGCAAACAGGAUUAGAUACCCUGGUAGUCCAGCUGG